rnacentral:rRNA from 1 species
UGCCAGACUCCUACGGGAGGCAGCAGUGGGGAAUAUUGCACAAUGGGGGAAACCCUGAUGCAGCAACGCCGCGUGAGUGAAGAAGUAUUUCGGUAUGUAAAGCUCUAUCAGCAGGGAAGAAGAUGACGGUACCUGAAUAAGAAGCCCCGGCUAACUACGUGCCAGCAGCCGCGGUAAUACGUAGGGGGCAAGCGUUAUCCGGAUUUACUGGGUGUAAAGGGAGCGUAGACGGCAUGGCAAGUCAGAUGUGAAAGCCCGGGGCUCAACCCCGGGACUGCAUUUGAAACUGUCAGGCUGGAGUGCAGGAGAGGUAAGUGGAAUUCCUAGUGUAGCGGUGAAAUGCGUAGAUAUUAGGAGGAACACCAGUGGCGAAGGCGGCUUACUGGACUGUAACUGACGUUGAGGCUCGAAAGCGUGGGGAGCAAACAGGAUUAGAUACCCGAGUA